AUGGUGGAAAAAAUCUUCCGCAUGAAAAGGGGGAAAAAACACAACCAUUUACGAUCUCAGUCAGCAGAUUUACUCUACUCAAGGAAAAAAAAGAAACCACCUUAUUGGAAGCAGAUGUUGACACUGUGUCAGUUAUUGAAGAUGGAAGGAGUUCACUUGAGCCAUUGCAGUUACAAAGGGGUUCUUAAUUACAUCUUUAAAGUCCCUUUUUCCAUGUAAAAUAACAUAUUCAGUGGUUCUGGGGAUUAGGACUUGGAGCCAUUAUUCUACCUACAACAAUUAGUAUUGGACUUCCGUCAUUUUCCAUCACUCUUGUAAUCAAGAAGGACUAUUUCACUGGGAGUAGCAAGUCAUAAUGCUUGCGUUGGCAUUUGUGUGGGGGUUUGUCUUCAUUCAUCAAAUAAUUGCAUAUAAAGAAAAUUUCUGUCACUAUUUCAAAUGUUUCAUGUAGUUUCUAUAGUACUUCAGAAUCCAAAGGGUUAUGUAUUACUUAUGUAAGAUGAGCAGUCUGGGGGGCGGAGAGCAGGUCAUCUAGUGCAGAUUCUUCCUAGCUGAAGUGUGUUUUCUCUGGGGACAACCAAGUACGAUUUCAUUGUUUUGCUUCCUUUUUUGGGAACAUAGGCCCAUCUUGUGAUGCCCUAAGUCUCCAAGCAUCUUAUUUGACCUGCUUAUACACAUUUGACUAAAUAGCUAAAUAUGACCACAUUGACGUGGUAAAGCUUUAACACUUUUGUCCAGAUUGAAUCACUCCAUCUGCUAUCAGUUAAGCAGUGGAAAAACUUAUGGAAAAGCAAACAUGUUUUGAUAGAUUUAAUGUGUAAAGAGGGUAUCCACACUCUGGAAUGCUGCUGAUCAAUAAAUGAACUGCAAGACUUUGUUCGAAACAACACUCAAACACAACUGUUUUACUUUCCAUACCAAGUUUGGCUGUGACUGAAUGAAGAACACCAGCAUUGAUCUUUGCUUUGCACUUGUACAAGAGACUAUUUGCAGAGAGCCAAAUAUAGCAACAGAGGAUUUAAUAUCUUGCCAAAAAAUACAAAAUCUGUUCCCCUUUAAGCAUGACACUCUAUCCUUUCUUGUGGAUCUUGCUAAAAGGAAAAUAUAGCUUUAAACUCCCCAAUUCUUUCUGUUGAAAACUCACGAAUCUUUUUCAAAUGAGCUCUGUAUGGUUUUGUGGUGUUUUAUGUUUCCAAAAGAAAAUGGCUACAUGAGAAAUCUGUCCAAUGUUAUUUUUCCUACAAAAAAUACGUCUGGUGAUGGCUGUAUUAAUUAAUUUGAUUGUGUUUACACAAUGUUUACCCAUGUCAAACCAUCAUAUGGUAUACCUUAAAUAUAUACAACUUUUAUUUGUCAAUGAUAACUCAGUAAGUCUGGGAAAAUAUCUUUAAGUCAAAGGUUAGAGUCAUCAGAAAUAAAGAAAAAUCAUACUUCGAUAACCUCAAGACUAAUCAAGGAUAAUUGGGUGACAUGAUAUCAUGCUGUGUGCCAUUUUGUAUUAAACAAAUUACACCAACAAUAAAAAAAAUUGGCUUCAA